rnacentral:lncRNA from 13 species
GUGGCUCUUUUUAAUGAAUGCAGUCAGGAGCCUGGUGACGACUUCAUUUCCGCUAUCCGAGGAGGGGCGCAGCUGUUACAAGUCAGCGGGCUGGUCACACUGGAUUUGCUGAUUAUGUUCUCACGGGUCCUGGACUCGUGGAAAGAAUGAGUUUCUCAUCAGGAGCUGUUCUCUCCGCGUGAUGCCUGCUUCCCUGUGAGGAGAGGCCUGUGCGGCUCCCAGGGAGAUGGGCCGGAGCCGUGGGGCUGGUGAGUGUUCAUUUGCUGCACAGCAUGUGACAGCAGGAAGACGCUUUCAGAACCUCGGCCACAAGAACGGACAGGAGGACUCUGAGUCUCCAUCACUUCAAUCCACAGGGUGUGAGCGAGGUGCCUCCCCAGUCCUGCAAACGUCUGACACUACCG